ACUAUACAAACACACUGCAUUAUAUACACACACUGCAUUAUAUACACUGUGUAUAUAAUGCAGUGUGUUUGUGUAGU